rnacentral:lncRNA from 1 species
GCUCAAACAGAAAGACCUAUGACUGAUGAACGCAGAAGGCCCGCCCAGGAGUUGGGGAGCCCUCAGGAGGCCAGAGCAGUGCAAACUAAAAUGAUGGCACACCCGGAAUCUCCUUGAGAGAGAGGGCACAGCCUCCCAGAGCUGCCCCGCCCGCAGGGGAAGGUCCCGAGGGGGCCUUGACCAACAGGAAACCACGCGCCGGGCAGCAGCGAAGCCCAGUAAUUGGGGCGGUGCUUCGCGCGAAGAGGGAAUUAAAAAGACAAAAAACACCUCGAACUCUGCUCCCAGGAGCCCCGCUGUGGGGCGGGGAAAGCAGUCGUUGGCCAAUGAGAGCAGCUGUUCCCCUGGCCCCGCCCCUGCUGCCUUCCCGCCCUUUACCCAGGCAGGAGGGCGCCGGCUCCUCGAGGCCGGGUGGCGGGCGAGGGAGGGAAUCGGUUAGGGCUCACGGGGAGCGCACGAGGAAUAAGCAGAGCGAACACAGACUAAUAAUUGUCAAGGGGCGAAAGGUGUCUGUUAGGGUCGGGCCAGGGGCCAGAGAGCGAAAGGAGCACCCAGAGGGAAGGUUGCGUCUGCGAGGCUGGGGAGAGGAGCGCGCCGGCCCAGCGGACGGCUGAGGAAUCUGAGCUAUUUAUCUUUCUACUAUUUGAGGAGAACAUUGAACUAAGGCAAGAAAAAGAGGAAUUUCCAGGGGUUGGCCCCGUGGCCGAGUGGUUAAGUUUGCACGCUCCCCUGCGGCGGCUCAGGGUUUUGCUGGUUUGGAUCCUGGGCGUGGACAUGGCACCGCUCGUCAGGCCACGUUGAGGCGGUGUCCCACAUGCCACAACUAGAAGGACCUGCAACUAAGGUAUACAACUAUGUACCAGGGGGAUUUGGGGAGAUAAAGCAGAAAAAAAAAAAAAAAGAGGAAUUUCUAAAUGGGAUACUACCAUGAUUGUGGGCAGAUGUCGUGUGAGUGAAUCUGUGGUAAAACUUGUGGGAUAGUACUAGACUUGAGCUUUAUCUAAUAUUGAUCUUCCCUCUGAAAUUUCAUUGGGUCUAUUCAUCACUGACCUCAUCUUAGACUCAGAAUUAAGGAAAAGUGACAGAAUGGGAAACGUUAAUUAGGUGAGUCAGUAUCUAAAAACUCCUAGCAUGGAACUUUUGAGUAAAUUUUGAGCUAGCAAGCGUUGCUUAGUCUCAAGGCUCAAGUGAGGGGUCUCACUUUCCCCUGGUCCCCAACUCUAAAUUUUGGAACCUAUACUCCCAGGGGUGCUUGCAAAGAGAAAAACAUAGCAUGAGUCCCCAUGAGGAGCCGUGAAUCCACUUAUGCAAUAAGCUCUAUGUGGAAGAGGAAGAUGAAAUAAGGGUGGCUGGCCUGCCCCCUGGGGGCUAAGGUCAGCUGAGGCAAGAAGGCAAGAGGGUGCAUGAGGUCUUUAGAGCUUAUAUAAUUUCCAUGGUUUCUAAGGCUUCGUGCAUAAAUAUGAAAACAUAGGCUUUUUUUCACUGAUGAUGAAUACACAGUCCAUUUGACUACCAUAUGAUAAACACAAUCAGGAAAAAGAAAAUUUCAAACGUGUAGUAAUGACACUGCUGUAAAUAGACCAGUGUGAUAUAUUGCGGAAGGAAAAGGUAAUCAAGGUCCCUGUGAACUAAAUUAUGACAUAGGGCUGGAGAGUUGAUAUAUCCCUGAGGUAGGACAGUGAAGGUGCAUUGCUGGUCUUGUCAGGUGAAAACAAACUGCUUCGGGUGGUCUUUACUAACAGGUGUCAAGAAAGAAGCGUUUGCCAGAUUAAUAGCUGCAUACCAGGUACCAGGGGAUGUGUUAAUUUGGUCAAGCAAUGAAACCACACAGAUGUGUGGUUUCAUUACAGCAGCUGCAAUUGGAGUCAAUCCCUGGUUAAGCUUAUGAUGAUAAUCCACUGUCAUUCUCCAAGAUCCAUCUGGCUUCAGCACAGGCCACGUAGGAGAUUUGAAUGGGGAUGUGGUGAGAAUCACCACGCCUGCAUCCUUCAAGUCCUUGAUGGUGGUGCUAAUCUUUGCAAUCCCUCCAGGAGUGUUGUAUUGCUUUUGGUUUACUGUUUGCCCAGGCAGAGGUGGUUCUAGUGGCUUUCACUUGGCCCUUCCGGCCAUAAUUGCCCUCACUCCACAGGGAGUGAAUGUGGGGAUUCUGCCAGUUGCUGAGCAUGCAUUCUAAAAAUGGGGAAAUAACCACAGGAUAAGUUUGGCAAUCUAGUGGGCCCUCUGUGAGAUGGAUCUGAGCUAAGCUUCCAUUGAUCACCUAAUCUCUAUAAGUCCUUAUUCUCACCGGUGGACCACAGUGACGUUUUGGGUCUCCUGGAAUUUGUGUUAGUUCAGAAUUAGUGUCCAGUAGUUACUGAAAGGUCUGAUGUUUUCUUUUCCCCAGUGCAUAGCAACUGUGGUGAAAGGCCAUAGGUCCCUUUGGGGAAGGCUGAGAAAAAGAUUAACAGUAUAAAUUUUAUAUAUCUCAAGAGAUUUAUUAUGAGGAAUUGGCUCAUAUGAUUAUGGAGGCUGAGAAAGUGCCACAAUCUGCUAUCUGCCACCUGGAGACAAGGAAAGCUUGUGGUGUGGUUCCAGAUCAAUUCCGAAGGUAUGAGAAUUGGAGCACCAAUGAGGUAAGUCCCAGUCCAAGGACAGGAGAAGACCAAUGCCACAGCUCAAGCAGUCAGACAAAGAAAGCAAAUUCUUUCCUCUGUCUUUUUAUUCUUUUCAGGCCCUCAACAAAUUGAAUGAUGCCCAAUCACUUUGGGAAGAAAAAUCUGCUUUACUCAGUGUGCCUAUCCCAAUGCUAGUCUCUUUCAGAAACACCCUCACAAACACACUAGAAAUAAUGUUUAACCAAAUAUUUGGGCAUCCUGUACCACCACCAAACUGACUAAUAAAAUUAACCAUCACAUGUCCGUUGUUCCCUCUUGCCCCGCUGGCUCAGGUUACUCUAGCAAGCCACUCAUAUUCAGACAUUUCAAGGCAAAAUGUAGGCACACAUAUUUAGGAACAUAUAAAUGUGACAAGCUCCCCACAAAAUUUGAUGGCAACAUCAUCAAUUGCACCAUUCUGUGAGCAUCCAACCAUAUAUUUAUACACGUGCCUCUCCUUUCUAAAUGCAACCCCCAAAACCUACUGGGAAUUUUCUUAGGACCUCCUUCCUCACACGUCUUGGGCUGGUGGUAGAGGAAGCUUACCUGUCCUCUAUGAGAAAGGAGAAAAAAGCCAUAAAUCUCUCCUAGGCUGUCACAGCUGUCACAAUUCUGACAAUUUCUUCUUCUCUCCUCCCCAGUCUUCUAAUGUUAUAAAUUGGGAAGGGUAGUGUAGACAGCUGAAUGUGGCAGAACUGAUUUGUCUGCAAAUUAUUGAACCCAGAGGGAGUAUCUGACCCCAAGGGUGGUUGGCUCCUUGGUGGUGGCUCUCUUUAGAACAUGAGGAAUGCAAUACCUCUAUGCCUCACUACAGGCCCCAGGCACCAGUUCUGGAGCAACCGGUAUAUUUCCACUCAACGUUUCUUACAUUUACAGUGAUUUCUUUUUUUAAAAUGUUACACAACUGUAAGUGGAAACAGUGGUUGCCUCUGGCAAAGGAAACUUGGAAACUAGAGACAUAAUUAUGUGUCCAUAUUACCUACUUAGAAAUAAUCUUAAAAAGGGAAAACAGGGGACUUAUGAAUUGGCUGUGCCAGAAUAGUUUCUGGACGAUGGUAGUGCUAACAGCCUGAUGGAAGUGGAUUAAGGCAUGCAUUUCCAGGGCAGGAUGUCCCUCCGGUGAAGAAGUUAAGCUUGGAGUAGUGGACCUGAAGAAGGCAUUGUUUAGCUGGAGGGGCAAAUAUUUUGGAUAUUUGUGAGGACUUGGGUGAGGCUAGAGAGAAUUUCUAGAAUGAGACUUUCUAAACGAUAUUAGUAUUCAUGGAUGACAUAAUGAAUCUGUGUAUUAGCAUUUCCUGUGUAGUCAUUCAUUCAAUAAACUGCCAGAGAAUAUAGUUCCACAAAGACAGGGGAUUUUGGCUCUUGUUUACUGAUGUAUCCCUGGCACUUAGAACAGUGCCUGGGAAAUGAUAGGCAUUCUGUAUCAAUCUUUAGAAUGAAUAAAUGAAUGUGGAUGACACAGAUAAGAUCAAUAUCCAAAGUCAUAAUGGCACCCAUGAAAACUAAUUCUGGGUAAUGCCAUGUAGUUCCUGUCAGCAGAACAGCUCCCCUCAGUCACUGCACAUCCCUGCCUUCCAAUGAGGUGGGGGAAGCUCUGGAGGAAGAAAGGAGGAGAAGCUGUUUAGGGUGAGAGUAGCUGGAGGAGAGACUAGAGCAAGCAGCCCCAAGCCUGGGAUGCCAUGUCAUAAGUUUCCCUCUGAUUUUUUUUCUUUCAUAUUCUUACUCUAAUCUCAAGAUAAUACCAUAAAAACAGAUUCCUAAAUUUCUGAGGAUGGGAAUGGGGCCUGGGAGCACAGAUCUCCUCUAAUUUGCAUGUCCAAGUCCAAUUUAAAAAAUACACAAAGAUCUCUCUAGGUCACAUUAAAAAGUUUUUAUUAAUUUCUGAUUUUAGCUCCUCUGAUUAUGCAAGACGUUGUUGGAUAUUAAAAAAGAGACCCUCUUCCACUUUUAGGAAUUUAUCAUACAGAAAUAGUUGUUCAACUGUGUCAAGGAAAUGUGUGCAAGAUGUUUAUUUACUUGUAACAGUGAAAGUUUAGAAAUCUAAUUAUGCAACAAUAGGGGAAUAGUUCAAUAAAUUAUGAUCAGUCUGUGGAGGAUGUAGAUGGAAUCAUGGUUAAAAUCAUGGACUCUGGAGCUAGAAUGUCUGGCUUCAAGUCCUGCUCUGCUAUUUACUAGUUGUGUGACUAAACCUCAAUUUCCAUAUCUAUGAAAUGGAGACAUCUGUCCCUACUUACUACAGUGAUUGUGUGACUUUGAAUAACUUAUUACAUCUGCUUGAUCUCGUCUUUUCACCAGUAAGAUAAAAAUAGUAAUGUCUACCUCCCUGGAAAGAAAAUAAUAACUGUGUAAAUUGCCUAGUUUAAUGUCUGACAUAAGUAAUAGUAAUAAUAUCUCACAUUUAUUGCACCCUUGUAAUGUGUCAGGCAUUGUUCACUUUAUAUACUUUGAUGGAUUUCAUCUUCACAAGAGAUUUGGGAUGAUUUCAACUCCAGGUAAUAUAAAUCUAACCAAACGUGACAAAACAAUGAAUACAAUGUUAAAUCACAUAACAAGGACCACAGAGAUGGAUGAUCCAAGGUUGUUCAAUUCAGCAACUAGGUUACCUCAUCAGAAGCCCAGGUGUUUUCUAAAUCUUUCUGCUUUGCCGUCUUCCCUUGAUGUUGGUUUGCCUUCUUAGUCUGAACACUCACAUGCUUCCAAGAUGGCUGACGUGGUUACAGGUAUCAAAUGCAAAAGCUACAUUCAGAGGAGCAAGAAAUGUCUCUGUGUUUGUGUCUCUUUUAAGAAUGAGGGCAAUCUUCCCAGAAGCCUCCCAGGAGAUUAACCUUACAUAUUUUUUACUAGAGUUUUAUCAUACUCUUGUACUUAAGUAACUAUUGGCAGGGAAAAAAGGAUCACCACAAUUGGUUCAGGCUAAUUAAGAUUGACCUCCUGGAGGUGGGAAGGGACCUAGCGAUCCCUGGAGCAUUUGGUCAUUAGGAAGAGAGAGAGGAAAGUUAGGACUCUCUUGGAAAGAAUGAAGAGGGGCAGUGUUGCUCACAUUCCUGUUUAAUUCCUUCCUCUUGAGUGUGGACUGACUUGCUCCUAAUGAAUACAAUACAGGAGAAAGGAUGGGAUGUCACUUCCAUGACUAGGCUGUAAGAGACUCUGACUUCCAUCUGGCUGGCAUUUUAUCUCUCUGGCUCCUCUUGUGUGCUUACUUUGAUGAAGCCAAGUGGAAAGGUCCAUGUGACAAGGAACUGAGGAUAGCCUCUCGUCAACUACGAGGGAGGAACUGAGGCCUCAGUCUAAACAUAGAAAUGUCCAUGACACUAAAUAAACAUCCAGUGUGCUAGAUAGCUUCCUUCUGCCCUUACAAAGCCAUUCUCCAUACUGCUCGUGCUCCCAGGGGAUGAUCUGUAUGGUCUCUGUCAUGGGCUCUCUUGCUCUCUGGAUUCUAUUUGGGUUCUACCAAGGGAGGCACUGACUGGAGAUGAGAGGUAGAACAGAGUGAGGUCUAGGUGUUUAUUCUCCUAGCAAUGUCUCUGCAAAUGUGACCUUAUUUGGAAAUAGAGUCUUUGCAGAUGUAAUCAAGUUAAGAUGAGGUCAUACUGUAUUAGUGUGGGCCUUUAUCCAAUGACUGAUCUCCCUAUAAAAAGAAGGAAAUUUAGGGGCUUGCCCGGUGGUGCAGCAGUGAAGUGCGCACUUUCCAUUUUGGUGUCCUGGGGUUUGCCGGUUCGGAUCCCAGGUGUGGACAUGGCACCGCUUGGCAAGCCAUGCUGUGGUAGGCGUCCCACGUAUAAAGUAGAGGAAGAUGGGCAUGGAUGUUAGCUCAGGACCAGUCUUCCUCAGCAAAAAGAGGAGGAUUGGCAGCAGAUGUUAGCUCAGGGCUAAUCUUCCUCAAAAGAAAAAAAAAAAAAAGAAGGAAAUUUACUCACAGACACACAGGGAGAAGGCCAUGUGAUGAUGAAGUAAUAUGUCUACAAGUGAAGGAAUGCCAAGGAUUGUGAGCAGCCACGAGAAGGAGAGAGGCAUGGAACAGAUUCUCCCUCAGAGACUCCAGAAGGAACCAACCCUUCUGACAUCUUGAUUUUGGACUUCUAGCCUCCAGGACUGUGAAAGAAUACAUUUCUGUUAUUUUAAACUACCCAGUUUGUACAGUUUGUUUUAAUUUGUUAUGGCAGCCCUAGGAAACAAAUGCAUUGAUCAGUCAUUUUUCUUUGGUGUUAUGUUAGAAAAUCAUAACCUUGUGCUGAAUAGCUCCAUUACUAUUUUAAUGUGUUUUUCCUGAUUAUGCUAUUGAAACUAUAGAAAAGUCUAAAGAAAAAAUCACAAUUAGGAGGUAUUAUCCAUAAUACUCCCAUGGUUAUCUUUUUGAUAUAUUUCCAUUGAUCCCUUGCCUAAACAUGAUUUUACGUAACUUUCUCAUAUGAUAUACAGAAUUCUUCAUUCUGGCUUUUUCACUUAAAAUGAUAGGUAAAUAGGUAUUUACAGAGUAAGCAACUCAUCAUAGAUAUUUUGAUGGCUGCAUAAAAUGCAUUAUGUAGGUGUUCUAUAUUUUAUUUAACAGUUUAUCUAUUGUUGAAUAAUUGGAUUGUUUUUUCUCUCUCUCUUUUUUUUUUUUUUUGUUAUUGGAAACAAUCUGUGGUGCAGGGUACGAUGAAACAAAAGUCUUGUUUCCAGAAGGGGAUUUAAUCUGGCUAUUGGUGAUUGGGGUAGAUUAGAGAAAUAUAUGUUAACAGGAUUGUCCCACAAUCAGAGACCAGCGUCUCCCAACUAAUCCAGAUGUGACUGCAAAGGAAAAAUUUAGGAUGGGAGUAGAAAGAGCCUUCCAGGGGCUGUCCUUAAGUUACACAGCAGGGAGAGCAGACCCUGGAGUUGCCGGAUUACUCAGAACAAGAUCCGCAGGGACAUCUCCUGGAAGUGUGCCCUUUGCUCACUCUUUUAAUAAGUCCCAGCUGCUCUUGAUCCUCUUUGGGCUGUCACCCAGGGAGUUCCUGUAGGGAUCUUCCUAACUAACCUCCUGAGACUCAUUUAGUGUAAAAGCAAAACUCAGGCUGACCUUAACUGAUGUGAAGCAAAGCUGCCUGUGGGGAUUUCCACACUUGGAUCCCCUGGGAAUCUCUAAGCAGCAAGUACUAAUGAGGCCAUGAGGGUCUGCAUUUGACUCCUUUCUCUUCUCUUAGACCUAUUCCCGCAGACACCAGAGAAGGAGGGAGGAUGAGGGGAUCGGCCUGGGCAGAGACUGACUAGGACCCAAGUGCCUCCCCAGAGUGUGUGCAACACUAUUUUCAGGCUUCCCCAGGUAGAAAAGUUUGGAAGUUCAGAGUCAUCUCUAUUGGCCUAACUGGGAUGUGCUUAGAAAUUCUCUGUAUUAUAAUUCAUUGGGGAAUAUCGGUCUUCUACUUGAGGUUAUUCAAUCUGGAAAAAUAUCAAUUCAUUACUUGUAUCUUUCUUUGGUCUGCUUCAGAAAGUGAAGUAUGGCAAGCUAAUGCCUUGGACAAAGAACCUUGGUAAUGAGAUUGGUAAACUUUCCGCAUAUGAGCUCCUCCCCAAGAGGCUGAGUCACAGGGAAGUUAUUCAGGUGCCUAAUCUAUACAGACCCCAUCCCCUCACUCUAGAACUGGAAAAUGUUCAGAUCAUUCCCUCUUUCUUUGAUUCAAAAUAUAUAUUCAGUCUACUAUGUGCCAAGCAGCGUACUGUGUAUUAUGGGAGACAAAUGAAUAAAAUACAGUAUUUGCCUUAAGGUGGAUAAAAAUAUGGCAGGAAAUAGAAGUUGUUCAAAACAAUUGCUACAAGAGUUAGGGUACAUUAAGUACCACAAACGAGGCACAAACAGAAAUCAGAGGAUGUUCAUACAUGGGACACUAUACUCAAUUUCUGACUGGAGAGAUAAGGCCUGGGAGAUAAAUCCUUAAGAGAGGACUGGGCAUUUAACCUCAAAAUUUCAAAUGUCCUCUCUUUUCUUUCUUCAUGGUCACUGGCUUGGAUCAGAUCUUCAUUAUCUCAUUUAUUUAUUCAUUCACUCACUCAUUCAACGUUUUUUUAAAAAACCAUCAAAGUAUCAAAGUCAAGGCCAGGCAUAGGGCUAUGACAGACAACAACACAGAAAUGGCUCUUACCUUCAUGGUGCUUAUACUCUAGUUGAGGAGAUAAGUAAACAGACAAAUAAGAGUGAUGAGAGAAUCAAAGAAAGAGCUAGGCAGAGAAUAGCAGGAGGAGAAGUUUUAGAAAGGAAGGUCAGGGAAGGCCUGUCUUAGAAAGUGAUGCAUAAGCUAAGAGUUAAGAUGAGACCAAGCUAGUUAUGGCAAAAAUUAAGGAAAAAGCAACAUCAUACGCAAGGCAAUGAAAUAGGAAAGAGUUGAGAAAGUUCAAGUUUCUGAAAUAAGAUACAUGUAGCUGGAAUAUAGUGAAUAAAGAAGAAACCAGAAUGAGAUGUGACGGGAGAGAUAGGUAGAAGGGAGAUAAUAUAUGGCCUUGAAUGCUAUUAUUAGGAUUUUAAAUUUUAUUCUAAGUGCAAUAGAAAGUCAUUUUUUUAAAAGAUUGAACAAUAUAACCUGAUUUAUAUUUUAAGAUGAGUCCUGCUGCAGUGUGGGAAAUCGAUAGGAGGAGGGUAAGAAUAAAAUUGAGAAGACCGAGGGAGUGACAUCAGCCUCGUGGUGGAGUGAGUUAUUCCCUUUGAGUCUCCCAUCUAAGUUACAGCCAAUCAGACAUCCAUUGACCAACAAAGAACUUCCUGCACAGCACACCAGAACUCCUGAGAGAUUCACGCAUGUAAACAUCUGAAGUUUCUACCCAGGAAUUUUCCGUGGCCGUGGAAUAUUGAUUCAAGACCUUAAAAGAUAUCUUCCAACAUAUGAUGUGCAAAGAAGAAAAAAGGGAGAAGAGAAGUAGAGGAGAAGGAAUUUGGUGACAAACAGACCAUUUCCAGCCACAGCAACAGAAUGAGCAGCAGACCUGGACGUUCUUGUUGAGACUGAGAGCCACAAGGAAAACAAAGAGAUAUGCAGAGGUAGGGAAAAAGCAAUUGAUUGAAGAAAUAUGCUGUGAGGUAUGUGAUACAAUCCCUAAAUGGUGGCCCCAAAAUUCUUCAAGAAAGCUCUCAGAAGAAAAUAAGAACUGAUCAAUGGAAUUUCGUUACUUCUCAAAUGCAGCAAGAGGAGGAGCUGUAUGCCAAAUAUGUGUGGAUUAUUAAUGAGGAGAAGGAAGGGCAGAAGCAAGAACAGGGAGACUGAGAAGAGCACCCAUUUGCCCAGGUUGUAAACUAGGGGUAAGAGUUAUAGAGCAAAAUCUCCUAGAGUCAAGGAAGCUUUGAGUGACAACUGCAUUGUACAAGAAAAUAAAAAGAGCAGUUUAACUUGUUUGCACAUUUAUUUGCCUCCACUUAAAAAUGUUGUGACUAGGCUGGAGGCAUGUUGUGCAAUUUAAAUGUAUGCUUUAUUGUUUUCAUGAAGAUUCCUUCCUACCUCUCAUUUUACUUACUACUACGUUUCCUGAGACUCUCUACUCACAUCUCUAUCUUCCUUCCCUCCUACCCCUAUUCUGUUACCUAAAGUCUAGAGCAGGGGUUCUCAGUGGGGAUAAUUUUCUCCCCUGAGGGUAUUUGGCAAUGUCUGAAGACAUUUUGGGGUUGCCAAAACUAGAGGAGGGAGCAUGCUACUGGUAUCCUACAGUAGGUAGAGGCCAGGGAUGCUGCUGAAUAUCCUACAAUACAUAGGAUAGUCACCAUAAUAAAGAAUUAUGUGGCCUGAAAUGUCAAUAGGGCUGAAGUUGAGUAACCCUGGUCUGGAGAUGAGGUAUUAAAAGGGCAGAAUUAGGAAAAUAAUGAGAAGUAUUGAUAUGGGAAGAGAAGAGAUAGGAAGAAAUCUAGAAGAAUUUAGGAUACAGACUUCUAUUCACAAAGCCAUUUUCUGGUCAACUGUGGGGAGAUUUCUGCUGACACUGCCACGGCAACGAUCUAUAUAAGUAGUUGUGACAAAACCUUCUCUAAAAUCUUUUGUCUAAAAUCUAAAAUGUUUGUCUCUAUCUGAGCCUACCUCUACCUCUCUGGUUUUCUCAAGUUACAGGACUUUUCCUACCCAAUUACGCCCUUCUGUCUGCCACUAGCAUAGACUACUACUUAAAUUAGGCCUUUUCCUGUUACUUCAAAGCAAACUUCAUCCACCUAGCGGUGAUCCUUCCCUUGUUCCCACCAAUCUCACAUUCCUGCCUAGCUCAGGCCCACCCCUCAUCAUUUCCCACCCACUUUCAUUUGCAGUGGGACUCCUACAAAUGCCAUUUUAGUGCAACCUGUGGAAACCAUGUGCCUUCAUGGAAAUAGUCCCGAGAAUUUCAACAUUUUUUUCUCAUUCACUUUACCAAUAUCCUUCUUUUACCAAUGCUUAUAUUUCCUCGCCCAUAUGCUCCAACCACCCUGAAGGGCCUGUUCUACCUUUCAUAUGUGCUGGAUAUUUUCUUUUGCCCCGCUAGAAGUAAAUAUACACCUUCUCCCC